CAGUCGAACGGCAGCACGGGGGCAACCCUGGUGGCGAGUGGCGAACGGGUGAGUAAUACAUCGGAACGUGUCCUGUAGUGGGGGAUAGCCCGGCGAAAGCCGGAUUAAUACCGCAUACGCUCUACGGAGGAAAGGGGGGGAUCUUAGGACCUCCCGCUACAGGGGCGGCCGAUGGCAGAUUAGCUAGUUGGUGGGGUAAAGGCCUACCAAGGCGACGAUCUGUAGCUGGUCUGAGAGGACGACCAGCCACACUGGGACUGAGACACGGCCCAGACUCCUACGGGAGGCAGCAGUGGGGAAUUUUGGACAAUGGGGGAAACCCUGAUCCAGCAAUGCCGCGUGUGUGAAGAAGGCCUUCGGGUUGUAAAGCACUUUUGUCCGGAAAGAAAACCUCCGAGUUAAUACCUUGGGGGGAUGACGGUAC
rnacentral:rRNA from 1 species